CAGACAAACAUAUGUCCUUGCUCAAGGCACAGCACACGGUGAACCUCCGCGGCUAGCUCUGUCCUCAGGAGGUCUUGCACGUAGGUCUAGGGACGGGCCUUGCUGUGAGAACGCCCAGGCCAGGGGCGUGCCCGCCCCAGGGGCUUCCUGAACUAUGGUUCCCACCUGGCUGAGAGCCUCUAGCUCCUGCUGUUCGCUGGACUCUUCUGCCAGGGUGCUGAGCAGUCGAAGGAGGCGAGGACUAGGCGGGGAAGUGAUGUCCAGGAAGUAGGUUUUCCACAGAGAGGAUUGUAGCCUGGAACAUCUUCCGCCUGUGCAGCUUGUUAGGAAAGCCCGAAGAGAGGAGGGUAAGGUCCCCGAGACCACUGCUUCAGUGUCUCCAGAUGCCCCUUGUCCCCUCUUCCUACUCACUUGUGCUGCUCAGGCCUAGGGGAGCUGUUGUACGGGCCUGACAUUUCCAUGAGCGCUGCUGCAAAGCUCUGUGCAGGGAAGAGUCGGCGUGAUGGCACCUCUGAAGAGGUGGACAGACUCUAUCCUUUUUAGCCCGCUGCCUCUCAGGCUUCAGUCCUACCCGGGGAUCAAACGCCUUCCGGAAGAGUCUUCCCAGCUGCUGUGCGUAGCUCUGGGCCCGGCCAGUCUCAGAGCCAUACAGAAUGGUUGCCUUCACACGCUUCGCCAUCACCGUGCCCAUGAGUGAGGCAGAGAUCUUCACUGCACUGCAGGGAUGAGGUUGUCCUGGUGUCCAGAUCCAUGCACACAGCCACAUCCUGGGUCAAGUUGAAGAGAAGCAGCAAAAGAGUGGCUCCUGCCUCCAGGUUUCUGUUGUGAGUUCCUGCCCUGACUUCCUUCAGGAAUGGAGGAACCUAUGAGUUGAUAGAGGAAAGAAACCCUUUCCUCCCCAAAUUACUUUUGGUCAGUGUUUUAUCACAGCACUAGAAAGCAAAGUGGUAUACCACCUCAGUGAUCUCCACGUUGGCGGGGUCCCCUCGCACGGAGCCAUCCUGCUGCCUAUAGCCCGCAUAGCGUAUCAGCUGGCUGUUCCAGAUCCGGAAGUCUCCCCGGCCAGGGCAGCGCUGGGGGAACACUGUGAUGGCUGAACUGACACGGGGAAUGAAACUGGUUAGAGCCGCUUUACUGUUGCCUGGGGUGGGCUUGGGCCCAGGGCAGGGUCACUCACCGAAGAUUGCCUCUAUUUGUUGCGUAUUUAAUGUGGUUACAGAUGUAGGUGAACAUUUCCUGUGCAGUCCUGCAGUCCCGAGCAUCAAAUACCUGGGCCCAAGGAGGACAGUCCAAGGAUGUAGGAAAGAGAUGAGGUUUUGACUGUCAGCUCUAGAGGGGUGCUGGCAUGGGGCUUGCUGGGAGGGAGGCAGGGUCUGGAGGAGCUACCCACUGUCCAUGUGACCAGUGCUUUCAACAUUCAAGCCCUACUGACCCUCCUCUAACAGCCUUGUUUGCCCAGCACAGCCUGAUUUUUCCAGGUCUCAUCUCCCUGUUCCCCCCAGGGCAGACUUGAAAACCAGCACAGAGGAGCACCUGCGGGGGUGGGGUGGGGUGGGGUGGGGAUUCCUAGUUGAUGGGUGAUUGGUACUGAGAGCUCAUCCAAGGCUGGUAAGCAUCCAGCUCCCUCCAGCCAGAGCAGUGAUGGGAAGAGGGAGGGGAGGAGGUGGGUGCACUACAGAGCUCUAGGGACCAUGCCAGAGGCAUUCUGAUUUGAGAAGGCUGGGACAUCCUAUCCCACCUGAGGGAGAAGGUGAUUUGUGACAGGAUAAGGGGUGGCAGUGGUGGCCAGUGGCCAAGGGAAGGACACAGCGGUGAGUGGAGCCUAUUAUGGAAGCUUGAUGGGUCACUUAAAGGGUCGGGCACUGGCGGGUAGAGUGCUCUUAUUUUGUUGGAGUGUCUUUGGCAUCACUGAGCAAGUGGCUUUUUUCCAUUGUCUUUAGCAGCCGCGUACAGCCUAGGCGGCCAAGGUCACGGGUUCAGUUCCCCUGUAGAUCCCUGGCUCCUGUUAGUGCUGAGGCUGUUCCAGUAACCCAGGCUGGUUCUGUAGUGUAUACUAGUGUGAAGGAGGUGUGGGACUGGGGCCACAGGGACCUCAGGGGAAGUGGGUAUGAGGUGAAGGCAUGGCAGGAGACCAUAGACCUUUAGUUAGUAUCGCCAGAUACCAUUUUUCCUCCUCUGUCAGCUGUUCUCACGUACUCAGAGAGCCUCAAGGAUCUGAUUGCUUCAGUCAAGGGCUGUGGGCCUUGAUUACCACUCGUCAGCCAAUAGGCUGAGGAUUAUCCAGCAGUGUCAAGGAGGGAUAAUCUGGUCUCCUUAGCAGGUGUCUCUAAAGGCAGUGUGGGACAAGGACCCUUCCACUGCCUCACAUCCGUCCCUCAGGGAGGCCUCAGGAGCUUCCUGGAUCUGUUCAGGCCCCUGGUAUCUAUCGUGCCAGCUGGUUAUACCUGCAGCUUUCCCCACUGGAUCCGGCCCACACAGCGGGGAGCAUUGCGCCAGGCCUGCUUGGCCCCAAACACCAGCUCGCUCUCCCGGAGCUGGUAGGUGCCUGUGGCUGCCACCUCAGCCUCCACUUCCUGAAGCCGCUGCUCAUGAGCCUGGGAGCCACUCCUGGGGAGAAGGGGGGAGAGGGGGAACGAUCCUUGGUCUCAGGCCGGUGAAUCCGGCUGGGGAAUGAGGUGUGAGUGGUGAUCUGGAGGCUUCUCCACUCAAGUGUCAGGGUGUUGGGGUGUAAGGGGACCCACCUUUUGAUGGAGUUAUAGUACUGAUUGAUGAAGUCCCGGGCUUGACCCAAUAGCUGCUCAGUGGGUGAAGGGCCCUGGGUGGGCCGGCUCUGUAACUUCCUUGGAAACACCAGGGAUCCCAAGCAGCGUCUUGAGGUACAGGGCCCAUCCUGAACCAGAACAGGGGACACAAAGGCCAGGAUCAGGUCAUAGUACAGGAUGAGUGAGCUGUGGUUAGUUAGCAAGGGCAGAGGGAGGCGGGCUCGGGAAAGCAAGGGCUCAGAGCAGGGCUGAUAAUGGAAAUGGGAUGAGAUUGGUUGCUUAGGGCUUGGGGCUCAGGGCCAAAGGCUUGCUGAAGUUCUUGCAAUGCCCCUUGAUCCCUCUGGUCCUUCCUGGCUUUCACUACUCUCUGCAGACAAGGGCCAAAUGUGAACAAAGUGGAGUUUCUUGGUUUGGGUCCUGAUCUGGGACCAGGCCUAGAAACACGGGCAGGACCUGUCCUUACCUGCUGAGCCUGGGCACUGAGGGUGUCGUAGGUGAUGCUGCCCACUUCCCAAUUCUUUACUCGAGGAAACCUGGGUCCGUCUGGGGGCCGGGUUAGCGGGGGGCUGUUGUGGGCCAGGAAUGCAUAGAGUCAUGGGUGAGAAGUUUGUCUCCUUUAGGCCUCCCCAUCACUGUUCAAGGGCAGCACUGUACGGCAUCAGUAACCCUACAGGGUCGUUGCCCACCCUCCUCUUCCUGACACUUUCUGUCAGCUCUCACAACAGCCUUAGGAGGUGGGCAGUACCUUCUGUGCCCCCACUUAAAGGCUUCAAGGCGUGGUCAAAUGACGCACCCAGCAAGGGAGUACAAGAGAGUUGAUGUGUGCUGUGAGCCACUAUCUCGUUUCCCACCACCACCAGGCCACCCUCUAGGCUUGGAGUGCUGGCCCAGACUGGUCCUCACUCCCUGCGCAGAACCUAUUUUGUGUCUUUUACACCUGAAGUUCUUUUAGUUUGAAUGUGUUUCCUAGCUUUAUUAAGUUGGAAGUUUGGAUCCUAGAGAAGAGUUGAGAAGCUGCGAUUGAGUGGAGAGGUGGUAGAUUCCUCCUGUUACGGCAGACUGACUGGGUUCUAGUGGAGUACCUUUGUUAUUUAAAAAUAAAUAAAUAAAUAAAAAAUAAAAAGCGAGAGCUU
rnacentral:lncRNA from 1 species